AAAAUUUUAAGUUAAUUUAAACUAUUAACCUUCAAAGUUAAAUAUAUAUAUAUAUAUAAAUUUUA
rnacentral:tRNA from 1 species